GUGGGGAAUUUUGGACAAUGGGCGCAAGCCUGAUCCAGCAAUGCCGCGUGCAGGAAGAAGGCCUUCGGGUUGUAAACUGCUUUUGUACGGAACGAAACGGUCCUGGUUAAUACCUGGGGCUAAUGACGGUACCGUAAGAAUAAGCACCGGCUAACUACGUGCCAGCAGCCGCGGUAAUACGUAGGGUGCGAGCGUUAAUCGGAAUUACUGGGCGUAAAGCGUGCGCAGGCGGUGCUGUAAGACAGGCGUGAAAUCCCCGGGCUCAACCUGGAAAUUGCGCUUGUGACUGCAGUGCUGGAGUACGGCAGAGGGGGAUGGAAUUCCGCGUGUAGCAGUGAAAUGCGUAGAUAUGCGGAGGAACACCGAUGGCGAAGGCAGUCCCCUGGGCCUGUACUGACGCUCAUGCACGAAAGCGUGGGGAGCAAACAGGAUUAGAAACCCCGGUAGUCC
rnacentral:rRNA from 1 species